GUUGCAGAUCACAGGUCACAUUAACAGCGCUUUGUGACAAAAAUGCAUCCAAGCAAAGCAAUUUUAUUGUUUACAAGUUUUUAUUUUUGCUUUUAUAAUUUAAAGAUGCAGGAAUAUUCUGGGGUGUUUGUAUUCCACUUUUUGAGUAAGUGUUUUUCGGGAUAAUUUACUGAAAUUUUGCUGUAAAUUUCGUCAUUUUCUUGUUUGUUUAGAGAAUUUUUAGUUCCAGCAGUAAUUAAUAAUUAACAUGUUUCUAAUUUUAGUGCUGGUUGCAGAAUGCGCGCCAAUGGUGAAUCUUGAAGAUGUUUAUAAAGAUGCGUCAAAUUUGUUUUGUUUUAGG